rnacentral:rRNA from 1 species
GAUCAUGGCUCAGGAUGAACGCUAGCUACAGGCUUAACACAUGCAAGUCGAGGGGCAGCAUUUUAGUUUGCUUGCAAACUGAAGAUGGCGACCGGCGCACGGGUGAGUAACACGUAUCCAACCUGCCGAUAACUCCGGAAUAGCCUUUCGAAAGAAAGAUUAGUACCGGAUAGCAUACGAAUAUCGCAUGAUAUUUUUAUUAAAGAAUUUCGGUUAUCGAUGGGGAGUGCGUUCCAUUAGUUUGG